UAUGUGAUCGUCUCUCGCAUAUCAAUAAGCGGAGGAAAAGAAACUAACAAGGAUUCCCCUAGUAACGGCGAGUGAAGCGGGAAGAGCUCAAAUUUGAAAUCUUAAAGGGUUUCCCUUUACGAAUUGUAGUUUAAAGAAGUGUUUUCUGUUGAGGUUUUGGUAAAAGUUCUUUGGAAUAGGACAUCAUAGAGGGUGAGAAUCCCGUAUUUGACCUUUACUUUCAACUUUGUGAUACACUUUCAAAGAGUCGGAUUGUUUGGGAAUGCAGUCCAAAAUGGGUGGUAAAUUUCAUCUAAAGCUAAAUAUUGGCGAGAGACCGAUAGCGAACAAGUACCGUGAGGGAAAGAUGAAAAGAACUUUGAAAAGAGAGUUAAACAGUACGUGAAAUUGUCAAAAGGGAAGCGUUUGACACCAGCUGUUGUUCUUCUGAAAAUCAAUUAAAGAACUGUUUAUGCUAAGUUGUUUAGACUUUAUCAGCUAAUCUGUUUAGUUUUGAGCUUUUCUUUAAUGCACUUUUCAGUUAACAAGUCAACAUCAAUUUCUUUUGCUGUAAAAAAGCUUGAGGAAGGUGGCUUGAGAUUCGUCUUAAGUGUUUAUAGCCUCUUGCCUAUGCAGUCGGAGAGAUUGAGGUCUGCAGCGUAGAUCCUUCGGGGCUAAAUGCAUUUGUGCUAAGUUAUAGCAUUUUAUAGACAACUUGUUGACUAUGAUUUGUCUUGUAGCUUACUCGCUUAUGUUAUUUUACCUACGCUUAGGAUGUUGACACACGCGCGUGCUC
rnacentral:rRNA from 1 species